UUUGCAAAACAAUUUGUUUUAAUUUAUUUCAUKGGACAAUCCUUUACUAUGGUUUAUUUAGUUAUUUGAAUCUGGAAGAAGUGUUUGCAAAUUUCCAUUGGGAAGAUAAAUAACAGUUCGACUGGGAUUUUCUUCCAAUAAAAGUACGAAAUAAUUAAGCAUGGCUUCGUUAAUAUUGCUGCGUAAUGUGUCAGGUGCUGUUCCAAUUUUAUGAUUUAAGAGAUGAAAAUGUAGCUACCAACUUAGUUGGUAUUGAAUUCGAGACAAAAUUUUAAAUUCAAUGACGUGCUCGUGGAAGGUGCACGUCGCAUUGCUAGAGUCAGCAAAGAAGCUGGUGUACAACAUUUAAUUAUUUGUCUGCCUUAAAAGAGAGUCCCAAACCAAUGAGCUUUGUGCUUGAGGGUUUUGAAGAGCAAAUACUACGGUGAAUGUGCUGUUCGGAUGUUGCACAAGCUAUUGUCAAUUGCGCUAAAGAUCCCGAUCAAGCUGUUGGGUAUAUUUUGAGCAAAAUUGAAUUUACAUACUUUCUAAUAUGCUAAACACUCAACACCCGCCUAGCAGACCAAAACGUUACCAUUUGAGCGAAUUAAUUGAUGUCAUUUGGGUGUACAAUUGACCUCCAUGGAAGAGCUAGUACCAUGGAAAUUGCGACCAUAUCGUGCUGCGCAAUAUUAUCAUACCGAAUUGGGAGAGUGGGAGGAACCAGCUCCACCAAAUCCGAUAGAACAUCGGGAAGAACUUGAAUAAAACUAUUUUAAUGGCAACAACGCUAACAACAACAGCCAAGCAAAUAAUAAACAACACUCAUCAAAUGAAAGUUGGUGGCAUUGGUGGCCAAGCAGCGAUUUGAAAAGAAACAUUUGCAUCUACGCGAAUUACAAUUCGUCUUUACAUCUAGUGAAAUAUGGUCGAUUAUGAACGAUGUGGAAAUUGAUAAUUAAACUU